ensembl:lncRNA
UGAACCACAAUGUAUUAAAUUAGCUUCAGUAGGAGUUUUUCUGGUGUGUCUGGUCCAGUCAUAAGUUACCAUCCUGCUUGGCACUUGAACGUGUUGAGAGAAGGUGGGUAGGUGCUGUGGGCACGCCGUCUACUGUGCCUACAUGGGAACAUUUUGUCAGUUGUAGGCCUAAAAUGUGACUAGUGAGAUGUUGACGAACACAUCUUCCAAGACAGUUUAGAGUUAUUAUGUUUCGGCAUGAUAACUCAAAACUUUCUGAAACUCUGAAAAACGAACCCUUUAAAUUAAGCAACUGCAUAGCUGUUUGCCAUUGAUAUGUUGCACAAUCUAUGUGCAUCCUAUGAUGUCCUGCUAACUAUAUAAAACUUCAAACAAACUAAGAAGCUGAAUACUAUGCCUGUUUUAUCCUAAAUAAAUAUCUAUAUGAAAAUAUUAUAACUCUUAUAUGAAGUAAUGACAAAAAGGCCAUCUAGUGUAAACCAUACCGCAUAUGCUGUCCAGCUGUUUUCAAGAGAGAACAGAUGAUUUUGGGUUGCAACCAUCAUAUCAUAUCAGCACCAAAACAAUAUGCCAAUAAGUCUCACUCAAACUAGCAGAUUGCCUCUUUAACCCUGUUAUAUAUCAAAAUAUGUCACAUGAAAAUAUAAAAGCCUCUGCAUGUUUUGUGCAAAACGGGAAUGGAAUGGAAUGGAAAAACCCUAUGCUGUGUGUGGACCUAUUGGUUAGCGGUGUAUAUGUAGACUGAGACGCGGAGGAGUGUUUGUCCCACUAGAGCGUGUCUAUGUAAUCAGGUGGUUGGAGUGCUCCCUUUCUAUAAAUGCCAACAAAAACGUCUCUAGUGCAAGUCAUUUGACUCUAACCUUAGCUCCCAAUGUAACAUGUAUUGACCUUGGAUCUAGGCCCAUAACAAAGAGGGAGACCGCACAUGAAGAAUGGGUUAAAUUAGAGGAAUUGAUUAAAUAAUCAAAAUUCUAAGGCUCCAAUUAGUGUGUGUAAGUUGGUAUCUUCGGUAUGCGAGUAGUAUAGAUGUGGGUUUAAAAUGGCGUGGAUGGAGUGUUAUAAGAUGGUUCCAGAAAGAAACAAACCCAAAAUGGUACUGGAACCAACCAUAUAGAGCCAGCCCUGCAGCAAGAGAGAGAGAGAGUGUCAGGUUUUGGGCAAGCUAUAUAUCGAUUUUGGCCCAAUGCGCCACAUUAACCUGCUGCACUCCAACAGAAGCAGCUCACACCCACCCCUUUUAAUGGCCAAAGAAAGAUUUACUUUACAUGACUUUCUUCUUUUAAUGGGACAGAGGCUUCGGGGUAGGGCAUCAGCAGGCAGGUUCUGUUUUCCUGUUUUUAUGACGAAUGCCAAGGAAGUAUGGCUCUAGAAAAAAGGCCCACCUCACCAGGAGUGAUUUUGGUUCUGUAAAGUCCGCAGAUUAGCCAACAGAUUAUGCUCAGUGUUUACAAUUUGGGAUUUGCCACUUAAUUCACAUCAAAAUGUUGGAAAGACCAAACAAGGGCCAAGGCUUCCCUUUCAAACUCAGAAUGUUUAACCUGGUAUGAAUUUAACUUUCUUGAGAAUGUUGCCACUGGAUGAUCCAUCCCAGCUGCAUCAACUUGGGACAAGAAAGCUCCAGCCCCGAUGCCCCUAACAUCCACAUGGAGGGUACAAUUUUGGACAAAGCCGCGGUGCUGCCAAACACUGUGGCCCUUCUGAACGACGUUUAAACGGUUUCAAAGUCAUACUGAUAGCAAGGGGUACAGGUAAAGUUUGUACACUUCCCAAGCAAUUCGGUCAAAAGGGAAACUACGGAAGGAAAGUUACAAAAGUAUGUGUAAUAAAAGCCAGUCAUACCCAGAUACCCCUUUAUCUCUUUCCUGGACUGCGGUACAGGGAAUUUAAGGACUCUAUUGAGCCUACCUGUUGUGAGAGGCAGCAGAGAGAGAGGUCAUGUUUCCCGAAGCUCCGCUAGGCAUUGGAAAAAACUACUUAAUUCAUCGUUCAGUUCUACUUUAUUUUAUUUUAUUUCAUGAUCAUAAUACUUAACAAUAUAUAGUUUGUUUCCGUCGUCCUCCAUCGCUCGAUUCAACAAUACACUUUGGCACUUUUUAUGGCUCCCGGAUCAGACCGCAGCAAAAGCCUUGGACUUUCCUAUCGCCAACAUGCCUCUGUACUCGGAUAUCUCAGAGACUGGGAAAUGCACAGACUGCACCAAUCUGCGACAGUCAGUGGCUUUAUUUGAAACGAGACUAGCAGCAUUAGAAAAAUGCAAAGGACUUCUCCAGGAUACAGUUCCAAUGGGUGAGUUUGCUGAGCUAACUCUGACAAAUACACAACAAGAUGAUCAAAGCUACAUUGUAUCCUUCCCGAAGCUGGACAAGAGAGAGACAGUUCCAGCUGCGUCUCACUGGCACAGAGUCGGCGCUAAGCCAAAACAACAUACCAAACUGUCAACAAAUUCACUCAACGCCAAAUGCUAAGCUACCCAAAGCUAAAGUUGCAUGUAUCAGCCGGAUUAGCCCGUCACUAAAGUUAACCCUGCCGCUGAAGAACCGGUUCCUGCCCCUUCAAGAGUCCACGGACGCGCCUGUCACCCAUGCACCCCUGAGCCCCGAAAUGCGUCUGGACAAACAGUGCGGACAGGGACCGACCAUGAACCCGUCGCCAGAGAGGAGAGCUGUGCAUGCGUCGGCCACCCGUGCACUCCUGAGCCCCGAAAUGUGUCCGGAAGGACGGAGCGGACAGAGAUGGAACAAGAACCAGUCGCCACGGAGGCGGGCUGCGCAUGCGUCUGCCACCGCCACCUCAAGCCAACAAGGGCCCAUCUCACAGAAAGCAGAUGAACCAGACACUCUGAUUAUAGGAGACUCAACCAUCAAGGAUAUAACCGGUAAGAAGAUCAAAACAUGCUACUUCCCAGAUGGGAUGGUUAGUUAUAUCAAC